rnacentral:rRNA from 1 species
GACGAACGCUGGCGGCGUGCUUAACACAUGCAAGUCGAACGGAAAGGCCCUGCUUUUGUGGGGUGCUCGAGUGGCGAACGGGUGCGUAACACGUGAGUAACCUGCCCUUGACUUUGGGAUAACUUCAGGAAACUGGGGCUAAUACCGGAUAGGAGCUCCUGCUGCAGGGUGGGGGUUGGAAAGUUUCGGCGGUUGGGGAUGGACGGGCGGCUUACCAGCUUGUUGGUGGGGGAGUGGCUUACCAAGGCAUUGACGGGUAGCCGGCAUGGGAGGGUGACCGGCCACAUGGGGACUGCGAGACGGACCAGACUCCUACGGGAGGCAGCAGUGGGGAAUAUUGCACAAUGGGCGGGAGCCUGAUGCAGCAACGCCGCGUGCGGGAUGACGGCCUUCGGGUUGUGAACCGCUUUCGCCUGUGACGAAGCGUGAGUGACGGUAAUGGGUAAAGAAGCACCGGCUAACUACGUG